GAUCCCGGCUCAGGAUGAACGCUAGCUACAGGCUUAACACAUGCAAGUCGAGGGGCAUCAGGGUGUAGCAAUACGCCGCUGGCGACCGGCGCACGGGUGAGUAACACGUAUCCAACCUGCCCUUUACUCGGGGAUAGCCUUUCGAAAGAAAGAUUAAUACCCGAUGGUAUAACAUGACCUCCUGGUUUUGUUAUUAAAGAAUUUCGGUAGAGGAUGGGGAUGCGUUCCAUUAGGCAGUUGGCGGGGUAACGGCCCACC
rnacentral:rRNA from 1 species